CAUUCCCGAUGCCAAAAAAGACGUCGGCAUAAAGAACGUCGGAAAUAAGGGUUUUACCGAUGCCAUGAACACCGCGUCGGGAGAAACGUCGAGAAAAUACUCUUUCCCGACGCAUCAAGAAGGCAUCGGCUAAUAGCUAUCGGGAAAACGCAAAUUAAUUUUGAAAAACAAACUAUUCCCGACGUCGUGCACAGUGCGUCGGGAACGACAUCGGGAAUAGGGGUUUUUCCAGACGCUCCGUAACGCAUCGGGAAAACUGUUCAAUAAGCGUCAGGAAUGCCUCUUUUCCCGACGCCUUUUUGGGGAUUUCCCAAUGUCGCGGCACUGCGUCGGAAAAUCCCCUUUUUAAUCGUUUCAGUUCUAUAUUUUAUAGAAUCGAAACUGAGAGGGGAAAAGAGAGAUCCAAGCGUUUCCGCCGCCGUUCCCCGCUACUGUUCCGUCGCCGUCUGCCACUUUAAAAUCAAAUGCUGAAACUCCAAUCCCAGCCUACCCCAGAGGGUAGUCAGCCACUCUCUGAGGAUGAGAUAUGCGAUCAGGUGUUGGGUAGACGGCCAGGCUACUCAAAAGGCCUUUGUUGGGGACCCAAGCCGAAGGCCCGCAGAACGGCGAGUGCAAGCAGUUCGUCGACAUCUUGUUCGCAGUCCACAGAAAAAGAGAUUGAAUUACAAGCUAAACUUCAUGAAGCUUUGGAACGGAUUGAAGUACAAGAGAGAAAUCACCAAGCAUUAGCUUCACAAGUGGAAAGUAUGAAAAAGAUGAUAGAAGAAUUAACUCGUGCACAACAGGGAUCACCACAUGAUCCCUAGCUCUGCGGACCGAAUGAGUAGAAUGACGCGCAUACGCACCUCGUUGGGAGACUUUUUCUUUUGUUUCUUUUUUUUUUUUCUAUUUUGAGAACUAUAUUUAUUGUAGUGAACUUAUUCGUAUUAUUAAUUUUAAUUAUAUUUUUUUAAUUUA